ensembl:lncRNA
UUUAUAGUCGGCCUCCCUUAUUUUUAUUUCACUUCAAAUUCUCAACAUAUGAAUAAUUACUCACACAUUACAAUCUCCCGCACCCACACACAAUUUAGAAAUCCUAAAAAAAAUAUUGCAGUGCACUCAUUAACAAAAGAACACCACAUUUUUGGUGUUCUAUUUUUUUCAAAUGCUGAUACAAAUGAUAAACAAAAUCAACUACAAUGCAACACGUUAGCAAUUAGAGAGGCUACCGUCGUUGUCAAUUGAUUUUAUUUGUUUUUCUGUAUAACAAAGAAAGCAGUAUGGAGACCAAACACAAAAAGGCGGGAACACAUGAAUUGUAGAAAGAAAAAACAAAAUUAAUCAAGCUUAAUAAUCAAAGUUCUAACAAUUCAUAACGCUGCUGCCACCAUCACUGGUCAAACCUUUACCAUAUUCCUCUGAGCAAGGUGGUGACAUGAAAACCCCGUUAUGGAUCAAUAAUAUUCAAAACAGUGAUGAGUAGUAAUGAUAAUAGGAUAAGUAGUAGUACGGUUAUAACAAUAGUGAUAAUCAAAGUGACAAUGAAACAUAAUAAAAAAGCAGAUCUCCAUAAAACCUAUCUAGUUUGAACAGUGCAACACCGUGUGUGUGUGUGUAUAAUCCCAGUAUCAAGGUCCUCCGCUCCCUACUUUAGACACAAGAUACAGAUUCCAACCAGGAAGAAACAUUGGAGCAGGGAAGAUGGCCUUUCAAAGCCAUCCGUAAUCUGACCUCUGGACAUGUUGGUUAGUGGGUGGAGGCUCCAACGGAACGACCAGUAACUUGUGCAAAAAUCGUGUGACGGCUGCGAAACGCCCAUUGGGGGGUCCGUUACAGUUUGCAUUGAACGACUCCUCUUCUGCCCUCUGUCGACCUCAAGAUUGCUUUUUGGUUUGUUUGUUUUUCUUUUGAAUGACAGAAAGCAAAAGGGAGGAUCACUUUGGAAUAGCAGUUCUUUUAAUAUAUUUUCUUUACAAAAGAUUUUUUUAGUUUUGCAUUUUGUUAAAACUAUCGAUAGUAACAAUAUUAUUAAUGUACAACUUAAAUGAAAGGAAAUGUGUUUUAUCUCCUUUGCAGCACCAUCUUAUUAGCUCUCCAGUCACAAGUUUUAAAGGUUUCCAAUUCACUUCCCAAAUAUUAGCCCUCCUCUCUUAAUGGUUGGGUAUGGAAUUCUCUUUUUUGGCAAUUUUUGCAAAAUUACUUGAAAAUCCUUAUCAUAACCCACUUACAGCCAGUGAGUUAGAAGUACUGACAUGAAAAUUAAACAAGUCAAUCAUUUGUGGAACGGGCAGGACUCGAAUAACUCCAGCCAAUGAUUUCCAGACCCAACGAGUGGCAUUGGACAGUAAGUACGUCAAUCAAACGGUCGUCCUGCACUCCCGCGACCCCUCCCCCGCUCCCCGCGCGACCCCUUGGUGCACGUACUCGAAGCUCGUGACCCAGAGCAAGCUUCUGUUUGUUGUUAUCCUGUGGUAGCUGCUGGAGCUAGCUAAAUAGCUAAUGGCUCGCUCCCGCACAUCUGUUCGCUCGUGCAUGAUUACGCGUGUACUUGGAAUGGGUGGAGUCAGAGUCACCGUUGAAGGAAAGGGGGUAGGACCAUUUGAGUUUUGCAUUUUCAAAAUCUGCUGGCGUUUCGCAAAUCCCAUACCCAACCUUUAAGGGUGUGGAAUACCAAUCUCUCCCUUUCCCAAGUUACAUCUUGUCUCCCAGCAAGUGCAUUUCUACAAAUACCGUUUGUCAUCAAAACAAGGCAAAGAAAUGACGUUAAAAGAAACAGCUCAUUAUCAGCCUGUUCGGUCAGACCUUUUGCAGUUUGCUUUGACCACAGCCAAGAGACAAGCCACCAUCUUAGCAUCUUCUGUGACUCAACUGAUAUUAAAUUAAUACAUUUAGUAAUUAGAUCAUUUUUCGCAAAGCGUACAUUAUAAAUGAAAACAUGACAUUGACUGAAUAUCCUCUGGUUGUGAUAGGGUCUCAGCUUCCAGCUUAGGUAAAAACAGAAUUAUUUGCACAUUAAACGAGGAGCGCUUGGCUUGCGAUGAGCAAAGCGCCGUUAGUCCUCUUUAAGGCCAUCUUGUUGCUGGCACACCACUUCUAAAAACCAUUUCCCCAACACCUAUUUAAUGAGUUUUAUUCCAAAAUGACACAUCCACCACAGAAACAAAAACAAAAUCCUACUCUAAUAAAGCAACGGUAAGGGAAGUGACAUCCGGGGAUUGUUUGAAAAAGUGGUUGUAAAAACAUAUCUAUAUAUAGAUUUAUAGACACAUCUGUCUCUAUAUAUAUAUAUAUCUAUAUAUAUAAAAAAAAAAAAAAAAAUCAUACGAGUCCCCUUUAUAUACCAUAUUCCCAGAUGGAUCGUAUGCAUUUUGGAACACAACUCGGCUUUCUACACAAAAUUUCAUAUCUAUUCCAUGUUUUUAAAAGACUUGAAAAAUCAAAAAUCUAUUUCAUUAAUUUUAUAUUAAGGCAUCCAACAUGCAAUUAUGUAUCUUUUUUAAAAAAAAAAAGACACCGCAUCAGAAUGCUUAAAAUUUCUUACAAAAUGUGCCAAAGUGCGGUAUGCCAAUAAUCUACUUUCUAAGUCUCUCAUUUUCCCUGUCUUCUUGGAUUGUCAUGAAAACUGUGGACAUAUAUGCAGAUGUUACGACAUUUCCUGCUUUACCGUACCGUAAAAAUCCCAAGUCAGACCAAGCGCCCAUUCAGACUGCGUCGCAGCCAGGUCAAAGGUCACAGGGGUGAAGGGUCAACCCGGCCGGACAGUCGCCUGCUCCACUGGUUCAUUCCACUCAUUAAAUGUUGUUCUAAAAUCGACAAAGUAGACGUAAUACAUGAAAUACAUUUCAAAGGCGCAAACUGGGAGAGAGCAAUGUUAACAUUUGAAGUCCCAAAAAGGUGUGCAGGCUCAGCGUCAAGGGGCUCCUCCGUUUGCAUCAGUCGUGCGAGUUACGGACAACGAACAAGCAUGUGAAGGGUAGUAAUGGAGGCAAGGUGGGAUGGGGUGCGUAUGGAGGGUAAUAUCACAGUCCCAGAACCCUCUCUCUCUCUCUCUGUCUCUCGUGUGCGGCGUCUUGAUACAUGUACAGGCUAAUUCGAGAGCUAUUGAUUAAUGCAGAGGCAGUAGUGGGUCGGGAUAGAUUCAGGAUGAACCCUAGUGAUUAAACUCCAUUUUCGGAUUUCAUUUCGGUGGAGGGGGGGUUGAACCCAAAAAGAGUUUGGCUGCGAGAAGAGUGCACUUAAAACAAAAAAGAAAAACGAUAUAUAAGCUUCCGAGGGUUAGUGCUCAAAGUCGUGUUCAUUAAAAUCUGAUGAGCCCAAACGGGUCCAGGAAGAGUUAUUUGGAGAUCAACCCAGACGAGGGUCUCUAGCUGUUGCUGCUGGCUUUGGGGGGCGGAGCCUCCCCGCCCGCCUCCCCUUCAGAGGCCCGGCCGGAG